GUCCAAACCACACUAUUUUUUCUUCCAUUUCCGAAAACGCGCAUAGAGAACUUGAGCUCUGAGACUUCGCGUUCCGCUACCCAUUCUCUCUCCGUGUAUGUGCCUGUAAUCAGGUAAUCAGGCAUUAUCUCCCUAAGCAUCUCUCCAUCAAGAAAGCUAAAAAGGCCUCUCUUUCUCUUAACAGAAGAAAGAGAGUUCUUAGUUUAAUGGCAAAAUCAAAGAACAAUGCAAAUAAAGUUUCUUAUAUCUCCGUUCCAUCACAAGUAAUCAACACUUUAUCUUCUUCUUCUCUGCAAACUCUGCUUUUCUCACCAAAGAAACCAUCUAGGAACAGGUUCUUAAGCUGGAAUUCGUAUAAGAACCCGAGAUUUUGGUUCUUUUCUCUCUUUUUCUUUGGUUUUCUUGGUAUGUUUAAGUUAUGGUUCGAUCUUGACCCUUUGGUACCUUUCUAUCCAUACCCAUGUAUCACAAGUCAAACUCAGGGGAACUCAUUCUCAAAUGGUUACUUAAGAUCACAGCUUGCUUUCCCUUCAAAUGGUGAAAAAAAUGGCCAAAAAGAUCAAGAGGCUGUGGCUGUUAUUGGUAUGGGGUCAAAAUCUGAGGUGGGUUCGGCUUCAAAAAUCGAAAAAGGUAGUGGAAGUGCUCCCAAAGACAAGUUUUUGAAGAGUAUUGUUCAAUCUAAGCCCCUACUAUCAAACAGAAAUGCAAAAUCAGGUGGGGAUGGAAAGGGGAAUGAUUUCUGGAAGCAGCCUGAUGGAUUGGGUUAUAAACCAUGUUUGGAGUUCAGUUCGGAGUAUAGAAGAGGGAGUGAGGUGAUAGUGAAAAAUAGAAGAAAGUACUUAUUAGUUGUGGUUUCGGGUGGUAUGAAUCAGCAGAGGAAUCAAAUUGUGGAUGCUGUGGUUAUUGCAAGAAUCCUCGGUGCUGCUUUGGUUGUUCCCAUCUUGCAAGUCAAUGUCAUAUGGGGAGACGAAAGUGAAUUUUCUGAUAUAUUUGAUUUGGAGCAUUUCAAGAGAGUUUUAGCUAAUGAUGUGAGGAUAGUUUCAUCAUUGCCUUCCACACAUAUAAGGACAAGGCCAGUGGAGGAAAGUCGAACUCCUCUACAUGUCUCACCUCAGUGGAUCCGUGCACGCUAUCUCAAGCGACUUAAUCGGGAAGGGGUUUUGCUUUUGCGUGGUUUGGAUUCAAGACUUUCUAAAGAUCUCCCUUCUGAUCUUCAGAAACUUCGCUGCAAGGUAUUGCAGGAUUUCUGUCUGGCUUUUUUCAUUUUUAUUUUCAGUUUAGUUAACUGAGGAUCUUAAUGUAGACUUGCAUGGAAGAGGGGGAAAAAAACUUCCUCAUCCUCUGGCCAUAUGAAAAGAUUUUUUUAGCUGAAAAUGGUGAAAAGUGUGUUGGGAAAGUCCUGAACUUUAUUUUUCAUCAAGUAUUGUUCUUCAGAAAUUAAGGUUCUUACUAUGGAAGCCUCUGAUCUCUUAUUUGUUUGUCUUCAGGUGGCAUUUAAUGCGUUGAGAUUUGCCCCAUCAAUUUUGGAGCUUGGUAACAGGCUUGCAGAGAGGAUGCGGAGCAAAGGACCCUACCUUGCUCUUCAUCUACGGAUGGAAAAGGAUGUAUGGGUGAGAACAGGGUGCCUUCCUGGUUUGAGUCCAGAAUAUGAUGAGAUUAUAAACAAUGAGAGAAAACGACGGCCUGAACUCCUUACUGGAAGAUCGAAUAUGACUUACCAUGAUAGAAUACUAGCUGGUCUCUGCCCCUUGAAUGCCAUGGAGGUGACAAGGUUAGACUUUGAAGCUGAUGCUGCAUGUACUACUUGAUUGCACAAUUAUCUGCCCAUUUUCCAUAUAAUGGAUUUCUAAUAGAUUUCAUUUUUUCAUACGCGAUGUUAAUAUUUCAGGCUACUUAGAGCUCUUGGAGCUCCAAAAGAUGCAAGAAUAUAUUGGGCUGGAGGGCAGCCGCUUGGUGGUAAAGAAGCUUUGAUGCCAUUAACCAGAGAAUUUGCCCAUUUUUACAAUAAGGAAGACAUUGCUUUGCCUGGUGAAUUAGAACCCUUUGCAAAGAGGGCUUCCCUGAUGGCUGCCAUUGAUUAUAUAGUCUCAGAAAAGAGUGAUGUUUUCAUGCCAUCUCAUGGUGGAAAUAUGGGUCAUGCAAUCCAGGUACAGCCCACCAUCACCUUAUUUGUUACCAAUUAGUAUGUUGUUACUUCCAAUCAUAGUUACAGUCUAUUUGGCAUUGUGUUUCAGCUGCUGUUGAGAAAAGAACUACUUUAAAAAUGUUUAUUAGAGGAAUUUAAAAUUCGAUUUUAAUUUAAAUUUGACAUCUUUUAAUCAUAAUAACUUCAAAACUACUAUUUCAAAUAGCUUUUCCCAACAUCUAAAAGGGCAUUUUUCUAAAAAGCAGUUUCAACCUUAAUGUCAAACAGGCUCUUGUUGAAAUAAAUUUGCCGGUGUAUAUGCACAAAAAAUAUACUUUUGCCUAAACAGAAGUUUGCUCUUGACACAGGGACAUCGGGCAUAUGCUGGGCACAAGAAAUAUAUCACCCCUAACAAAAGACACAUGCUUCCUUAUUUUCUCAAUUCCUCUCUACCUGAAUCAGAGUUCAAUAGAAUCAUAAAGGACUUGCACCGUGACUCCUUGGGGCAACCAGAACUGAGGGAUAGCAAAGCUGGAAGAGAUGUCACAAAGUAUCCAGUUCCCGAAUGCAUGUGUAAGAAUUCACAUACUCAUUCCUCCUCAUGAUUGAAUGCCAAAAAUUGCCAGCACCAAGAUUAGAAUGCAACAGAUUGCUUCAUCUUAAAAUCAGCAUUUCAUCGAUGAAUCCCUUGAAUCUAAGCUGUUUUGAAAGUGUGAUACUGACAAUGUUCCUGUCAAUGCUGGUUUUAAGGAGCACCAUUUUUGAAGCGCAUGCGUGGCAGGUGUGCUUUUCUUGCAAGUAAACUCAUUAUUUAUCCAUAACCGCCCUACUUAUAUGUAUGUACUGUACAUGAGAGGAAAUAUAGGUAUAUUUAGAGAAGAAUGAUGUAUCAUACUUAGUCAUUUUUUAAAUUCUUUACAGUUGAUAGCCCAAUUUUCUCCUCUUUAGGAUCAUUUUUUUUUACCUAGUUCAUUCUUUGUACUAAAUCUAUGUACCACGGGUUCGUAAGGUUCAUACUUGUUUAUGUAUAAUAAAUAAUUUCCAUUUAUAUUUAAUCAGAUGGGAAGUUCAUUUUAUGUUAAAAA
rnacentral:misc_RNA from 1 species